CGCAGUCUGCGGCCCGGCUGAAGGGGUGUGGGUUAGCACGGACUAGAGCGUGGCGGGCGGACUCUAGUCCCCGCUGCUGGGUACCCGCGGCCACACCCCCGUCGCCAGCGCUCGGAGCCGGCCGGGCACCGCACGUGGACUGAGUUGACCGGCUCCCCAGAUGCCCCUAGAACUGCCACGCCCUACCCUCCCCAGGCCGACCUCCCGGCUCGGUGGCCAGGGCUGCCGGGUCCACACUGCAGCUUUGUACCCUACGGGCGUAGCCGGAGCCACACGGCCACGGUUCACCUUGGAACGCUUGGGGAUUUGCGGGCUGAGAGCGAAGCGAGAAUUACCUAAGUAGCUAAGGCUGACCUCGAACUCAGAGAACUCAGAGGUGUCCGUCUCUGCCUCUCAAGCGCUGGGCUUGAAAGCAAGCGCCACCAAGCCAGGCAUAUUCGUUUUUAAGAGAUGGAUGGCAGGUUCUUUCCGCCGCUUGCAGAGAACAACUGUAAUGGCCGUUCUAAUAUCACCACUGAACCCCGGUUAGUCCAGCAGGACUUUGCUUCAUUACCAACCCUUCUAUUAAACUCACAAGAAAGA
rnacentral:sRNA from 1 species